GGUUACGUUCAUACAACACCGAAUGUGCCGUAUCUCAUUCCGAAUUGCGAAGCCAAAUGGUGUUUGGCCUGUCCAGUACUCGGGAGGGGGACCACCGGGGAACCGCAUGGUGAUGUAACCU
rfam:Plasmodiophora brassicae isolate e3 genome assembly, contig: scaffold_11